CAGUAGCCGCGGUAAUACAGAGGGUGCGAGCGUUAAUCGGAUUUACUGGGCGUAAAGCGUGCGUAGGCGGCUAAUUGAGUCGGAUGUGAAAUCCCUGAGCUUAACUUGGGAAUUGCAUUCGAUACUGGUUAGCUAGAGUGUGGGAGAGGAUGGUAGAAUUCCAGGUGUAGCGGUGAAAUGCGUAGAGAUCUGGAGGAAUACCGAUGGCGAAGGCAGCCAUCUGGCCUAACACUGACGCUGAGGUACGAAAGCAUGGGGAGCAAACAGGAUUAGAUACCCGAGUAGUCCCUGUCUCUUAUAC
rnacentral:rRNA from 1 species